GUGCUCGCUUCGGCAGCACAUACACUAGAAUCGGGACGAAACAGAGAUCAGCAGGGCCCCGUGCAAGGAUGACACGCAAAUUCGUGAAGCGUUCUAUAUUUUU